rnacentral:rRNA from 1 species
UACGGGGGGGGCAAGCGUUGUUCGGAAUUACUGGGCGUAAAGGGCUCGUAGGCGGCCAACUAAGUCAGACGUGAAAUCCCUCGGCUUAACCGGGGAACUGCAUCUGAUACUGGAUGGCUUGAGUUCGGGAGAGGGAUGCGGAAUUCCAGGUGUAGCGGUGAAAUGCGUAGAUAUCUGGAGGAAUACCGGUGGCGAAGGCGGCAUCCUGGACCAAUACUGACGCUGAGGCGCGAAAGCUAGGGGAGCAAACGGG